rnacentral:rRNA from 1 species
UACGGAGGGUGCGAGCGUUAAUCGGAAUUACUGGGCGUAAAGGGUGCGUAGGUGGUUAAUUAAGUUAUCUGUGAAAUCCCUGGGCUCAACCUGGGCAGGUCAGAUAAAACUGUUUAACUCGAGUAUAGGAGAGGGCAGUGGAAUUUCCGGUGUAGCGGUGAAAUGCGUAGAGAUCGGAAGGAACACCAGUGGCGAAGGCGGCUACCUGGCCUAAUACUGACACUGAGGCACGAAAGCGUGGGGAGCAAACAGG